rnacentral:rRNA from 1 species
AUUGAACGCUAGCGGGAUGCUUUACACAUGCAAGUCGAACGGCAGCGCGGACUUCGGUCUGGCGGCGAGUGGCGAACGGGUGAGUAAUGUAUCGGAACGUGCCCAGUAUCGGGGGAUAACUACGCGAAAGCGUAGCUAAUACCGCAUACGCCCUACGGGGGAAAGCAGGUGAUCGUAAGACCUUGCACUAUUGGAGCGGCCGAUAUCGGAUUAGCUAGUUGGUGGGGUAACGGCUCACCAAGGCGACGAUCCGUAGCUGGUUUGAGAGGACGACCAGCCACACUGGGACUGAGACACGGCCCAGACUCCUACGGGAGGCAGCAGUGGGGAAUUUUGGACAAUGGGGGCAACCCUGAUCCAGCCAUCCCGCGUGUGCGAUGAAGGCCUUCGGGUUGGAAAGCACUUUUGGCAGGAAAGAAACGUCGCGGGCUAAUACCCCGUGGAACUGACGGUACCUGCAGAAUAAGCACCGGCUAACUACGUG